rnacentral:lncRNA from 1 species
AUGUCUCACUAUUUGCAGAUGAUGAGUUUCUGAUCAUUUGUAAAUGUGUAUCUAUCUUGUCACGAGACUUGAGCCUUUUUCAACCUCGUUGGUAUGCUACAAGUUGCUCACCUCUUCCUUUCUCACUUCCUCUCUCCAGGGUCCUCCUAACUACAGCACAUAUGCAGGUCUGCACAGUAAUCAGAUUCUCACUGUCAAGGGUGACCAAGGCCAGGCUGGAGCCGCUGGUCCUCCUGGUCCGCCGGGUCCCCCCGGUCCCCGAGGCCCCCCUGGGAACACAGGCAAGGACGGGCCACGUGGCCCUGCUGGCGAGUCGGGUUUUCCAGGUCGGGAUGGCAUUGACGGGCCACAAGGAUUGCCUGGGAAGCCGGGAGAAAAUGGUGAGCCAGGCUAUUCAGGGCAACAGGGUCCUCCAGGAGCGAAGGUACAGAUAUGUGUGACUCAUCAGUUAUCAUAUGUUGCAUGCUGA